rnacentral:lncRNA from 1 species
GGGAUGCAUAGUUUACCCUAUCUAAUUGUGUUGUUUUUGAAUUUAGGAGCAUUGCUCACUUCACUAGGCUGCCCUGAAUGUUACCACCACCCAUCUCCGCCGCCGAAAUGUCCUCCGCCACACUAUCCGCCUAAACAUCAUCAUCCUCCCAUUGUUAAGCCACCCUAUCACCCUAAACCACCAAAACAUCAUCCUCCAAAGCCACCUAAGCCUCCCGCGGUAAACCCACCAUAUCACCCUAAACCACCGAAGCCACCGGUGGUGAAGCCACCGGUGGUGAAGCCACCGUAUCACCCUAAACCACCUAAGCCUCCGGUGGUGAAACCCCCAUAUCACCCUAAGCCACCAAAACAUCCCCCGCAUCCUCCCAAGCCACCUGUUGUAAAGCCUCCCUAUGUACCUAAGCCACCUAUUGUAAAGCCUCCACCGUAUACACCCAAACCACCGGUUGUGAAGCCUCCGCCAUAUACACCCAAACCGCCGGUUGUGAAGCCUCCGCCAUAUACACCCAAACCGCCGGUUGUGAAGCCUCCGCCAUAUACACCCAAACCGCCGGUUGUGAAGCCUCCGCCAUAUGCACCCAAACCGCCGGUUGUGAAGCCUCCGCCAUAUGCACCCAAACCGCCGGUUGUGAAGCCUCCGCCAUAUGCACCCAAACCGCCGGUUGUGAAGCCUCCACCAUAUACACCCAAGCCACCUUACUAUCCAAUACCGCCGGUCAUAUCACCACCAACACUGCCUCCAAAGCCACCAGUCUACCCCAGUCCACCAAUAGUGAACCCUCCACCAUAUACACCCAAACCGCCGGUUGUGAAGCCUCCGCCAUAUACACCCAAGCCACCUUACUAUCCAAUACCGCCGGUCAUAUCACCACCAACACUGCCUCCAAAGCCACCAGUCUACCCCAGUCCACCAAUAGUGAACCCACCAACACCGCCGAUUCUGCCACCUCCUAUUGUGAAUCCACCAACACCGCCGAUUCUACCACCAC